rnacentral:lncRNA from 1 species
AGUAAUGAGGCAGUGGCCUGUCUCACCCUCUCUACUCCAGUCUCUGUGUCCUGUCUCACCCUCUCUACUCUACUCCAGUGUCUCUGUGUCCUGUCUCACCCUCUCUACUCCAGUCUCUGUGUCCUGUCUCACCCUCUCUACUCCAGUCUCUGUGUCCUGUCUCACCCUCUCUACUCCAGUCUCUGUGUCCUGUCUUACCCUCUCUACUCUACUCCUGUCUCACCCUCUCUACUCUACUCCUGUCUUUGUGUCCUGUCUUACCCUCUCUACUCUCUGUGUCCUGUCUUACCCUCUCUACUCUCUGUGUCCUGUCUUACUCUCUCUACUCUACUCCUGUCUUACCCUCUCUACUCUACUCCUGUCUUACCCUCUCUACUCUACUCCAGUCUCUGUGUCCUGUCUUACCCUCUCUACUCUCUGUGUCCUGUCUUACCCUCUCUACUCUCUGUGUCCUGUCUUACUCUCUCUACUCUACUCCUGUCUUACCCUCUCUACUCUACUCCUGUCUCACCCUCUCUACUCUACUCCAGUCUCUGUGUCCUGUUUUAUCCUCUCUACUCUACUGUGUCCUGUCUUACCCUCUCUACUCCAGUCUCUGUGUGUCCUGUCUCACCCUCUCUACUCUACUCCAGUGUCUGUGUCCUGUCUCACCCUCUCUACUCUACUCCAGUCUCUGUGUCCUGUCUGACCCUCUCUACUCUACUCCUGUCUUUGUGUCCUGUCUUACCCUCUCUACUCUACUCCUGUCUCACCCUCUCUACUCUACUCCAGUCUCUGUGUCCUGUCUUACCCUCUCUACUCUACUGUGUCCUGUCUUACCCUCUCUACUCCAGUCUCUGUGUGUCCUGUCUCACCCUCUCUACUCUACUCCAGUGUCUGUGUCCUGUCUCACCCUCUCUACUCUACUCCACUCUCUGUGUCCUGUCUGACCCUCUCUACUCUACUCCAGUCUCUGUGUCCUGUCUCACCCUCUCUACUCCAGUCUCUGUGUCCUGUCUCACCCUCUCUACUCCAGUCUCUGUGUCCUGUCUUACCCUCUCUACUCCAGUCUCUGUGUCCUGUCUCACCCUCUCUACUCUCUGUGUCCUGUCUUACCCUCUCUACUCUACUCCAGUCUCUGUGUCCUGUCUUACUCUCUCUACUCUAAUCCUGUCUUACCCUCUCUACUCUCUGUGUCCUGUCUUACCCUCUCUACUCUACUCCAGUUUCUGUGUCCUGUCUCACCCUCUCUACUCCAGUCUCUGUGUCCUGUCUUACCCUCUCUACUCUACUCCUGUCUUACCCUCUCUACUCCAGUCCAGUCUCUGUGUCCUGUCUUACCCUCUCUACUCUACUCCUGUCUUACCCUCUCUACUCUUUGUGUCCUGUCUUACCCUCUCUACUCUCUGUGUCCUGUCUCACCCUCUCUACUCUACUCCAGUGUCUGUGUCCUGUCUCACCCUCUCUACUCUACUCCAGUCUCUGUGUCCUGUCUUACCCUCUCUACUCUACUCCAAUCUCUGGCACAGAUGCUGUUGCUGCUGCUGCUGUCACAGUGGGGGGUGA